UCCACCACCUGCUGAUGCCAGCUUUCAGUCGAAGGACACAAACAAGAUCAUUCACCCAGAUUUGAAAAAUGAUCGUUCAUCCCUGGAUGAUGAAGUGGCGUUUUUCAUGUGUCCUACUGAUGUUCCUCUGCCUCCGAGACCUCCACCCACUGCAGAGUUACGUCUCUGCAGAAAGCGCAGAUAUUCUGCUGUUUUUUCUGUGGAGGAUGAAGAGGAACAUUUGAUGCCUAAACGCAUGAGGCUGAUGAGUUCUGAUGUUCCAUUUCUUCAGUUCCUCCACCUGCUGAUGCCAGCUUUCAUUCAAAGGACACAAACAAGAUCAUUCAUCCAGAUUUGAAAAAUGAUCGUUCAUCCCUGGAUGAUGAAGUGGCGUUUUUCAUGUGUCCUACUGAUGUUCCUCUGCCUCCGAGACCUCCACC
ensembl:lncRNA